rnacentral:rRNA from 1 species
UGUCUGGGAAAGUGCCUGAUGGAGGGAGAUAACUACUGGAAACGGUAGCUAAUACCGCAUAACGUCGCAAGACCAAAGAGGGAGACCUUCGGGCCUCGUGCCAUCAUAUGUGCCCAUAUGGGAUUAGCUAAGUAGGUGGGGUAACGGCUCACCUACGACACGAUCCCUAGCUGGUCUGAGAGGAUGACCAGCCACACUGGAACUGACACACGGUCCACACUCCUACGGGAGGCAGCAGUGGAGAAUAUUGCACUGUGGGCGCAAGCCUGAUGCAGCCAUGCCGCGUGUAUGAAGAACGCCUUCGGGUUGUAAAGUACUUUCAGCGGGGAGGAAGGUGUUGAGGUUAAUAACCUCGCCAAUUGACGUUACCCGCAAAAAAAGCCCCGGCUAACUCUGCGCCAGCACCCGCGGUAAUACAGAGGGUGCAAGCGUUAAU